rnacentral:rRNA from 1 species
AGAGUUUGAUCCUGGCUCAGGAUGAACGCUAGCGGAAGGCCUAACACAUGCAAGUCGAGGGAGGAGCUUUCGGGCUUCGACCGGCGUACGGGUGCGUAACGCGUAUACAAUCUGCCUUUCACAUAGGGAUAGCCCGAAGAAAUUUGGAUUAAUACCUAAUGGUAUAUAGAGAUGGCAUCACCUUUAUAUUAAAGCUGAGGCGGUGAAAGAUGAGUAUGCGUUCUAUUAGCUAGUUGGAGAGGUAACGGCUCCCCAAGGCUACGAUAGAUAGGGGUUCUGAGAGGGAUAUCCCCCACACUGGUACUGAGAUACGGACCAGACUCCUACGGGAGGCAGCAGUGAGGAAUAUUGGACAAUGGUCGGAAGACUGAUCCAGCCAUGCCGCGUGCAGGAAGACGGCCUUAUGGGUUGUAAACUGCUUUUGCAGGGGAAGAAUAAGGAGUACGUGUACUUUGAUGACGGUACUCUGCGAAUAAGCAUCGGCUAACUCCGUGCCAGCAGCCGCGGUAAUACGGAGGAUGCGAGCGUUAUCCGGAAUCAUUGGGUUUAAAGGGUCCGUAGGCGGGCUAAUAAGUCAGAGGUGAAAGCGCUCAGCUCAACUGAGCAACUGCCUUUGAAACUGUUAGUCUUGAAUGGUUGUGAAGUAGUUGGAAUGUGUAGUGUAGCGGUGAAAUGCUUAGAUAUUACACAGAACACCGAUAGCGAAGGCAUAUUACUAACAAUUAAUUGACGCUGAUGGACGAAAGCGUGGGGAGCGAACAGGAUUAGAUACCCUGGUAGUCCACGCU